GUAUUCCCACUGGCAAAGGCUGCUGCAAAGUUAUUAUUAGACAUUUGUUUUGCAACCGUCAGUGGAACACUUCAAACUUUCCUACAGGAGGCAGGCUGCUUACUGUGCAUCCUCUUCCAUAGCGAGAAACCGCAGCCUGCCAGUUAUGUAUUAGACAGACGGAUGGCCGUGAAACCACGAAACAGCUUGGUCCUGAGAAGUUCUUGUGCUUGCGCAAUUCUCGUCCUGAGAAGUUCUUGUGCUUGUGCAGUGUGUAAACAUAUGAGACAGCUGCAGAGGUCAAGGCUGGGAGACGUUCAUAGAAACACUGAAGUGGGCAACUAAUAGAAAACAGGGUACCUGUGCUGAAGUUCAACCACUCUGCGAGUCCAUUGGUUGAGUCUACACACUUUGACAGCCCACACUCAAGGUUGAAUAUGGGUUAAAUGUGGAUGUUUUCUUGUGCUGGAGGAGAGAUUUGCAAAUAAUCCGGACCAACAGAAAGAAGUACAAGUGGACCCUAGAUCAAAUCAAGCCAGAGCUGUCCCUAGAAGCAAGAAUGACAAAAACUGAGGCUGUCCUACUUUGAGAACAUCGUGAGAAGGUAAUAUUCCUAGGAGAAGACCAUCCUGCUAGAGGAAGCCAAAGGCAGAAGAAGAAAAGAAGACCAAAUAUGAGAUGGAUUGACUCCAUAAAGGAAGUCAGAGCCUUGGAUUUGCAGGAACUGAGCGUGCCUGUCAUGGAUAGGACAUUUGGGAUUACUUUCAUUCAUACAGUCACUCUAAGUCAGAGAUGACUUGACAGCACAUAGCAACAACACUUUCCUGUAACAUUAUUAAACCAACUGUAAACUUCCUAGAUGUAAGGUGACUUGCCUUCAUAAAGUAGGUUCAUCUUAGGUAACUGCAGACACAGACAGCACGUUAUUUUCAUUUACUUUAGUUCAGUUUCAGUAGCAGCAUUGAUCGUUAAAGUGGGAAUGUGUGUUUUCCAGUGAAAGACUGCUUUCAGCAAUGGAAUUUCCCCCAAAUUUAAAGCAGUUUUCAUAGAAUUUGACUGGAAUUAGUGAUGCAUCUGAUAUUUGGAAUUGAUUAUUCCCAGGUUCCCUGGUAACUGUUUUUGCUGCUGCAACAGCAAGCACUCAUAUUGCUGCCAGGUUUAUUUUGGAGUAGAAGUCAGUGAAAGGAGGUGGGGGAGGCCUUGCCAUGUUCCUGGUGAUGUAAUUAGGAGCACAUGAGCUUUCAUCUUGCCUCAUGGGGUGACUUUCUCACCCCAGGCUCACAUUGUGCUGUGCAAUUUACAAAUAGGCAGACUAUAGUUUAGUCCUUCUGGCACAUUGUCAAAUGUGGGGUCAUAAACACUGUCCCUGAAUUUCAGCCUCUUCCCUUUUGCAAUUUUCAUUGUAUAAACCAAAAAAUGCUCAGGAUAUAAAAUGUUCUCAAAUUUGCAUAACAAAAUCCUCUGGGAUACUUCUGUGAUCCUAAAGAAAGGACACAGUUUGGGGCUUGAAAUGAGUUUAACUACAGGUUAUUUUCGUCUAUUUGAAAGCCAAGAGUUGGAGCAAAAGCCUCCAGAAAAAUAAAAUCCCUCUAAAAUCUAUUGAGGGAAAGCACUUUUAUUCUGCUUUAAGGUUAUAGGGAAAACUAUUGUUAUGUUGAUUGUCUCUAGGUCAUGCAUUGUUUUCACUUUUGGGCCAGCUUUGCCAAGAAAGCAGCUAAUUCCCCAUCCAGGUAUAAUCUGAUGAAUGCCAGCACAUCCCCAAACUGGCGUAAGUGUGAACAAAUGCAAUUCUUUAGCUAGUUCCCCCACAGUCAGCUUGUGUAUUUGAAUUGUUGUAAACCAUUUCCUCCUUCAACAGUGUCUGAAUGUGUGUGGAGAUCAUCUUCUGGAUGGAGGAUCAUCUUCUUAGCCAGACUCUGUAUUUGCCAAUGGCUGAAGACUGCUUAUAUGUGGGUGUGUGGAUCUCAUAGGAACAUGUAUGAGCUUGUACAUGGGUUUUCUAUGAGACUGGAGGCCAGGAAUAGGUCUAGAACAGGAGUAGGCAAUAUGGUACCCGUUGACAGCAACACCUCCUCAACACCUUUCUUGGCAGCUGUCAAGGUGCUUAACUCUUCCCACUUAAAAAAUACAGAAACGUUUUCUUACUGGUAGCUGAGGCUGAUGUGAAAUAGGUUUGUCUUGUGCUGAAAGCUGUGGGUUUAAAGGUGUUAUUUCAUGUGAUGCGGCUCAGAAUCCAUCUCUUGAACACAGCUUGUACCCUGCACUUUGGGCAGGUUAGUUGUCCUUUAACAUGCCUUCCACAGCUGUCGUUUUGUGGAAGUGCUCAGAACAGUUGCUCAAAUUGUCACAGUCCCAAAGCUUUGCCUACUCCUGGUCUGGAAGAUGGGAUCCCAUUUUUGGAAGUCUUUAUGUAAAGAGAAGAAUGCAAACAAAAACAGUUGCAGCAACAUGCGUAGCAGACUAUUUCAGUAGGACUUCACUAAGCAACAUUCAUUUCCUGUUCUUUCAUGCAUGAAAUUGUGGAUAUGGCCAUCAAUGGCUUCUAGCUGCAGUGCCUGUAAUUCUUCCAUGGUUUCUACAGAUCUUUCUCUUCAGGUCUUUCCUGUCAACACUGGAAGGUCAGUGGUAAAUGUGGGGAGGGGGCAGAAUGUGCAUCCCUAUGUCUUCUCCCCAGUUAGGUUUUUUUUAAUGCCUCAGUAAGGCUAUACCAGUUAAUCCAUUCCUAAUCCCUGCUGCCAAUGUUUACUAUGAUGUUAAACAAAGACACCCCCCCAAAAAAAAAGUGGGGGUAGGCAAACAUUGAGGAUUUAUGCUCUCAACUCUGAAUAGCCCUUAGCAGUGGAGUGUAUACUGAAAUAGCUUCUAUUUCUGUGCAGCUGUCAGUGUUUAAAACAGUGAUAGAUAUAAUGAAAGGGUGUGAAAUCUGAGAAAAUUGAAGCUGAAAAGGGAUAAUUUCUGAACAGAACAAAGAAAUACAGGAGUGUAUUUCAGACGUGAGCAAAUAUUGGUGAUGCCCAUUAGCCGGGGCUGUUGAGGAAACCAGUUUUGGUAAGAAUGUGUGUGAACAGGCUUAAAAAGCAGCUAAAUUCCAAUUGUACAAAUUCAACAGGGAUGGGCCUGCCUUUUGGGAAAAGUCUGUUUGCUGCCUUGUUAUUAAACAGGCAACAGGAAAUGUGAGCUUCAGUACAGCAGGUGAAGAAGUCUUUGCCGGAAAGCCAGUUGCCAUGGCCACUGCCAUGCUCCUCCUCCUCCUCCUCCUCAGCUACAGCCACCAUCUUCCUCUUCUUUUACACUCCUUGGUGGCAUGUUACCUCCACUACCCACCUGCCCUAUGCCUUGCUUCAAAAAGAUGGAUGAGAACCCUGUUGUAAUCCUGUUCUGAUCAGGAUUAACUCGGUUUACGCCUUCUUGACCAAGCACAGACUUGGUCAAAGCCCAUGCUAAAGUAUGUACUUUGCCAAGCUUGCAAAAUGAACAAGAAAGUGUUCAAGAGCAUAUGGACAAAUAGGCACAAAUACAAUUUAUGGGCGAAGAAAUGUGCAUUUCAAAGGUUGUCAUAGUUAAUGUAUAUAUCUGGAAAAUAAGCAUGAAAAUAUGGAAGAUUUUCAUGUGCAAAGGAAAACAA